AUACGUAGGGGGCGAGCGUUGUACGGAAUGAUUGGGCGUAAAGGGCGCGUAGGCGGCCCGGUAAGUCUGGAGUGAAAGUCCUGUUUUUAAGAUGGGAAUUGCUUUGGAUACUGUCGGGCUUGAGUGCAGGAGAGGUAAGUGGAAUUCCAAGUGUAGCGGUGAAAUGCGUAGAGAUUGGGAGGAACACCAGUGGCGAAGGCGACUUACUGGACUGUAACUGACGCUGAGGCGCGAAAGUGUGGGGAGCAAACAGGAUUAGAUACCCUGGUAGUCCACACUGUAAACGAUGAAUGCUAGGUGUAGGGGGUAUCGACCCCUUCGGUGCCGCAGUCAACACAAUAAGCAUUCCGCCUGGGGAGUACGGCCGCAAGGUUGAAACUCAAAUGAAUUGACUGGG
rnacentral:rRNA from 1 species